UAUCUUCCAUUUCAGUUGCUCUUUUUCUUUGCGCCUUUCAUGGCAGCGCAGCAACACUCUCUCCAUUGCUUCAGAGCUCGAACAGCCCCAAGUUCUUGUCUUCGAUCCUUCGCUUGUUGUUUGAUUGAUCGAUGCCAAUGGCGUCGGAGGCCUGCGCUGUGCUUCUCGGCAGUGUUGGGCCUGUUGGUCCUGGCUUGGGUUGCCUGAAGAUGCCCCCAGAUCGACCUCUCUUUGCGUCUUCCCAACGGUUCCUCUCCAUCUCUUGCAAGAUGAGGCAGAGGAAUCUCGGCUCCCAGCCAAAGAGGCAGAGAAGCAAAAAGUUUCCACCUAAAAGCUCUACGGUAAAUAUGAAAUCUCAGUCUAAUGAUGAUGAAGACAAUGGAGCUCAAGAUGCUUCUGGUGGUCAUCAACUAAAUUCUGACUCCCGUACUCUUUCCAGUGCUAAUGGUGAUAGCAACUCUAUUGCCAUGACAGUUGAAACAUUGCCCUCUGCAAACGAUGGAGUUACUCAGAUAGAAAAAGUUCAUGGACGACAAAUUCCAAGUGUUCGUCUUGAAGAUCUGAUAGCAAUGAUCAGGAAUGCUGAAAAAAAUAUAUUGCUUCUCAAUGAAGCUCGUGUUCAAGCAUUGGAAGACCUUGACAAAAUUCUUUCAGAAAAGGAGGCUUUGCAAACUGAUAUAAACAAUUUAGAAAUGAAGUUGACAGAAACUGAUGCAAGAACCAAAGCUGCAGCCCAGGAGAAGAUCCAUGUAGAACUUCUUGAAAAUCAGCUUGAGAAACUUAAGGAUGAAAUGACCUCAAAUAGAUUUUUAGGUGAAAAGCAUGAUUUACGUGACAAUGAGGAGAAACUGAAUUUAGAUUCUGUUACAUUGGGUGCAAAAAACUCUCCUCUAGCUCAGGAAUUGAGCACCCUGCAUAAGGAGAACAUGCUACUGAAGGAUGAUAUCCAGAAUCUCAAGGCGGAGCUUGAUGAUGUCAAGGAAACUGAGCAGCGUGUAUUGAUGCUAGAAAAGGAACGCUCAAUUUUGGAGAUUUCCCUUAAAGAGUUGGAAUCUAAGCUUGCAAUUGCCCAGGAAGAUGUUUCAAAACUUUUUGCUGUGAAAUCUGAUUGCAAAGCUUUAUCAGAGAAGGUAGAAAGUUUACAAGGCUUGCUUGAUCAGGCAACUAAACAAGCUGAACAGGCAGUCACAGUUUUACAUCAUAAUCAUGAGCUUCAAAGGAAGGUUGAUUUACUAGAAGCUUCCUUGCAAGAAGCAAUUGCAGUUAAUUAUUCAUCUGAAAAAGCUCUAAAAUACAAUGAGCUCUUGGAACAGAAAGUUAAGUUACUGGAGGAGCGCCUUCAGAUAUCUGAUGAAGAAAUAAAUUCUCACAUUCACAUGUAUCAAGAAUCUGUGAAAGAAUUUCAAGAUAUUGUUGAUAAACUAAAAGAAGAAAUCAAGAAAAAAUCACUUGAAGAAACAAUGGAUGAUAUGCCAUCGGAGUUUUGGAGUCGUUUGUUGCUUACAAUCGAUGGUUUGUUACUUGAAAAGAAAAUAUCCUUAAAUGAUGCAAGUUCGUUGAGGGAAAUGGCAUGGAAGAAAGAUAAUCUGAUACGUGACGCAUAUUUGGCUUGCAAGGGAAAAGUUGAUAAUGAAAAUUUGUCUUCAUUCCUCAAACUUGCAUUGUCCAGGCCUAGUUCUGGGUUAAACAUCAUUCAUAUCGCUGCAGAAAUGGCACCUAUUGCAAAGGUUGGCGGUUUAGGUGAUGUUGUUUCUGGCCUUGGUAAAGCACUACAGAUGAAAGGACACCUUGUUGAAAUAAUUCUUCCUAAAUAUGAUUGCAUGCAAUAUGACCGUAUUUGUGAUCUUAAGGUCCUUGAUGUAGCGCUACAAUCUUAUUUUGAUGGGCAGCUGUUCAAGAAUCAAAUUUGGGUUGGGACUGUUGAAGGUCUUCCUGUCUACUUGAUAGAGCCGCUUCAUCCUGCAAAGUUCUUCUGGAGGGGACAAGUCUAUGGAGAGCAUGAUGAUUUUAAACGUUUCUCAUACUUCAGCCAUGCAGCACUUGAGUUGCUUUAUCAAUCUGGGAAGAAACCCAAUAUAAUCCAUUGCCAUGACUGGCACACUGCUUUUGUUGCACCGCUUUACUGGGACAUUUAUGCAACAAGAGGUUUUAAUUCUGCUAGGAUUUGCUUCACUUGUCACAAUUUUGAAUAUCAGGGAGUAACAUCUGCUUCAGAAUUGGCAUCGUGUGGCCUUGAUGUUCACCACCUACAUAGACCAGAUAGGAUGCAGGACAACUCUGCACAUGAUAAAGUGAAUCCUAUUAAGGGAGCUAUUGUGUACUCGAAUAUUGUUACAACUGUAUCACCAACUUAUGCUCAAGAAGUACGCACUACAGAGGGUGGCCGUGGACUGCAAGAAACACUGAAUUUCCAUUCGAGGAAAUUUGUUGGAAUUCUUAACGGAAUUGAUACAGAUGCAUGGAAUCCUUCUACAGACAUGUUUCUAAAAGUUCAGUACAGCCCUGAUGAUCUUCAAGGGAAAACACAGAACAAAAAAGCUUUGAGAAAAUAUCUAAAUCUGUCUACUUCAGAGGCCUUUAGACCAUUGGUUGGGUGUAUCACAAGACUUGUACCACAGAAGGGUGUACAUCUCAUCAGGCAUGCAAUUUAUCGAACACUGGAAUUAGGGGGGCAAUUUGUGCUUCUAGGUUCAAGCCCAGUACCUCACAUUCAAAGGGAGUUUGAGGGUAUUGCUAACCAUUUCCAAAGUGACCCUCAUGUUCGGUUGCUACUAAAAUUUGAUGAAGCCCUCUCACACACAAUAUAUGCAGCUACCGAUAUGCUUAUUAUUCCAUCAUUGUUUGAGCCCUGUGGACUUACUCAGAUGAUAGCUAUGAGAUACGGUUCUGUGCCGAUUGUGCGGAGCACUGGUGGUUUAAAUGAUAGUGUGUUUGAUAUUGAUGACGAUUCAGUUCCAUUACAAUUCCGUAAUGGGUUUAAGUUCACAAGACCAGAUGAACAGGGACUAAGCGAAGCCAUGGAAAGGGCAAUUAAUUAUUAUUUUAGAAGUCGAGAAAGUUGGCAGCAGCUUGUUCAGAAGGUAAUGAGAAUGGAUUUUGGUUGGGAUGCUUCUGCUGCACAAUAUGAAGAGCUCUAUGAAAAGGCUGUGGCUAGAGCGAGGGCAUCAAAAAAUUUGUAAUUCUCUUUCGGUUCUUGAUCCUCUCCCUCUUCUUAAUUGGGCAUGCUACCAAUUGGUUUCCCAAAUUCAUAUCUGUCUUGCCAUGCUAUAAGAUGGGUUACAGCUCUUGGUUCUGAUUCUCUGCUCUUUGCUGAUGAGUGCAAAAGCAUAUGUCUACACACAAUGCAGGAUGACUUUUUGCAAGGAAACUUGGCAUAGUUGUGGGGACAAUAUUCUCGCUGUUGUAAAUGUGAUCACAAGUUUGCCCUUCAUGUUAUACACCUGAGAAAGAAAGCAAUAUGUUAAGUGUUGAUUGAGAAAUUUCAUCAUUAUCUUGGGAUUCUUUGUAGUACCAGACAUUCAACUCUGUACUGUUUCAAAGCAAGUCAGGAGGCUCCAAAGUCUUUCAUUUUAAGGUAAGUGGCAUCCUCUUCCUCUAAAUCUUAUUAUUCUUCUUGUUAGACCUUGAGAAGUACAUAAUAGAAAAUCUAUUUCUCAAGUUUAGAAAUAUUACUGUUAAUCUGUCAAAUGUUUUCAUGAUUCCUCUGUGCUUUACUAGUUACCUUGCAUUACUUUUCAUUGUUCACCUUCGGCAUCAAGUUUUUCACCUUUCUAUACCAAUGGAUAUAUCAUCCUAGUAUGAUUGGCCAAUUUUUUAGCUUGAGUUCCCAGCCACUAGUCACACGACAGAUUAUAUGUAGAAUCGCACAAUUUCUGGCUUAUUAGUUUGCAACCUAAGGAACACAGACAAACGUUACAUAAACAUUGUUGAAAAUAAAACUGCUGGUACAGAGCUCAAUAUUUUACAUUGCCAACACCAAUCUCAAUCCACAAGCACAAGAUUACAAUGUCCAAGAUGAUUCAGUGCUGGUGGAAAAGAUGGAGCGGCAGACAAGCAACAUCCAUUGCUCCUCACUCAUUUGCCAGGGACGAAGUUGGUGG